rnacentral:rRNA from 1 species
UACGUAGGCGCCAAGCGUUAUCCGGAUUUACUGGGCGUAAAGCGUCCGCAGGUUGAUUUGUAAGUCUGAUGUUAAAGAUCCCGGCUCAACCGGGAGAAGGUACCAGAAACUGCAAGUCUAGAGGCCAGUAGGGGCUGUCGGAACUUAUCGAGUAGGGGUAAUAUCCGUUGAUACGAUAAGGAACACCAAAGGCGAAGGCAGACAGCUGGGCUGGCCCUGACACUCAGGGACGAAAGCGUGGGGAGCGAACGGG